rnacentral:rRNA from 1 species
GACGAACGCUGGCGGCGUGCUUAACACAUGCAAGUCGAGCGGUAAGGCCCUUUCGGGGGUACACGAGCGGCGAACGGGUGAGUAACACGUGGGUGACCUGCCCUCAGCUCUGGGAUAAGCCUGGGAAACUGGGUCUAAUACCGGAUAUGACUCCAUGACGCAUGUUGGUGGGUGGAAAGCCUUGUGCGGCUGAGGAUGGGCCCGCGGCCUAUCAGCUUGUUGGUGGGGUGAUGGCCUACCAAGGCGACGACGGGUAGCCGGCCUGAGAGGGCGACCGGCCACACUGGGACUGAGACACGGCCCAGACUCCUACGGGAGGCAGCAGUGGGGAAUCUUGCGCAAUGGGCGAAAGCCUGACGCAGCGACGCCGCGUGAGGGAUGACGGCCU